rnacentral:snRNA from 1 species
GUGCUCGCUUUGGUAGCACAUAUACUAAAAUUGGAACAAUACAAAGAAGAUUAGCAUGGUCCCUGCACAAGGAUGAUACACAAAUUUGUGAAGAGUUCCAUAUUUUU